GAGGAUGAAGCUCGGUGGUAGAGCACUUGCCUGGCAUGCAUGAGGCCCUGGGUUUGAUCCCCAGUACCCCA
rnacentral:tRNA from 1 species